rnacentral:rRNA from 1 species
ACUCGUUGAUCCUGCGGGAGGGCACUGCUAUGAGGGUUCGACUUAGCCAUGCAAGUCAAGGGGAUUCUUCGGAAUCACCGGCAAAAUGCUCAGUAACACGUUGACAACUUGACCUUAGGUCUGGAAUAACCUUGGAAAACUGAGGCUAAUACCGGAUAGGGGAAUUGGAUUGGAAGAUUAAUUCCCUUAAGGAUUACGCCUAAGGAUAGGUCAGCGGCUGAUUAGGCUGUUGGCGGGGUAACGGCCCACCAAACCAAUGAUCAGUAGGGGUCUUGAGAGAGAUAGCCCCGAGAGGGACACCGAGAUAAGGGUCCCAGCCCCACGGGGUGCAGCAGGCGCGAAACCUUUACAAUGCACGAAAGUGUGAUAAGGGAACCCUCAGUGCUUACGUAAUGCGUAGGCUUUUCUUGAGAGUAAAAAUCUCGAGGAAUAAGUGGUGGGCAAGACUGGUGCCAGCCGCCGCGGUAACACCAGCGUCCACAAGUGGUGUCCAGCAUUAUUGGGCCUAAAGCGUCCGUAGCCGGUUGAAUAAGUCUUCUGUGAAAUCGUUGGGCCUAACCUAACGGCAUGCGGAGGAUACUGUUCGACUAGGGACCGGGAGGAGUUAGAAGUAUUUCUGGGGGAGCGGUAAAAUGUUAUAAUCCCAGAAGGACUACCUGUAGCGAAGGCGUUUAACUAGAACGGAUCCGACGGUGAGGGACGAAAGCCAGGGGAGCAAAACGGAUUAGAUACCCGAGUAGUCCUGGCCGUAAACGCUGUGAGCUAGGCGUUGCAUGUUCCACGAGAACAUGCAGUGUCGCAACGAAGGUGUUAAGCUCACCGCCUGGGAAGUACGGUCGCAAGACUGAAACUUAAAGGAAUUGGCGGGGGCGCGCUACAAGGAGUGCGGCGUGCGGUUUAAUCUAAUUCUACGCAGAGAACCUCACCAGGGGCGACGGCAGAAUGAAGGUCAGAUUGAAGGUCUUACCUAACAAGCCGAGAGGUAUUGCAUGGCCGCCGUCAGCUCGUGCCGCAAGGUGUCCUCUUAAGUGAGGUAACGAGCAAGACCUGUAUCUACAAUUGCCAGCAGAUUCUUUUGAAUGACUGGGCACAUUGUGGAGACUGCCCUGGAAACAGGGAGGAGGGUGCAGGCAACGGCAGGUCAGGAUGGUCCGAAUCUCCUGGGCUACACGCGCGCAACAAUGACUGGGACAAUGGGAUACAACCCCGAAAGGGGAAGUUAAACCUCGAAACCCAGCCUUAGUUUAGAUCGAGGCUUGCAACUCAGCCUCGUGACAAUGGAAUUCCUAGUAAUCGGAUCUUAUCACAAUCCGGUGAAUAUGUCAACGCGCCUUGCACACACCGCCCGUCAAGCCAUCCGAGCAGGGUUUGGGUGAGACUCAGUCGUUUGACUGUUCCGAACCCAAGCUCAGUGAGGCAGGCUAAGUCGUCACAAGGUA